CCUACGGGUGGCAGCAGUGGGGAAUAUUGCACAAUGGGCGCAAGCCUGAUGCAGCCAUGCCGCGUGUGUGAAGAAGGCCUUCGGGUUGUAAAGCACUUUCAGCGGGGAGGAAGGCGAGUAGGUUAAUAACCUCAUCGAUUGACGUUACCCGCAGAAGAAGCACCGGCUAACUCCGUGCCAGCAGCCGCGGUAAUACGGAGGGUGCAAGCGUUAAUCGGAAUUACUGGGCGUAAAGCGCACGCAGGCGGUCCGUCAAGUCGGAUGUGAAAGCCCCGGGCUCAACCUGGGAACUGCAUUCGAAACUGGCAGGCUAGAGUCUUGUAGAGGGGGGUAGAAUUCCAGGUGUAGCGGUGAAAUGCGUAGAGAUAUGGAGGAAUACCGGAGGCGAAGGCGGCCCCCUGGACAAAGACUGACGCUCAGGUGCGAAAGCGUGGGGAGCAAACAGGAUUAGAUACCCGAGUAGUC
rnacentral:rRNA from 1 species